GCUUCCGCCCUGCGCGCUAACCCAAGACGGGAGCUCGAGAGCUUGAUCCUGCGCGAGUUUACAGACUGCCCUCUUCCCUUUUUGCAUCGAAGACCACAACUCCCAAGAGGUAAUGCGUCGGCCCGGGACUACAUCUCCCGGCAUGCACCGCUGGCGGGUCCGCGAGUUCUCACCAUCCCAGCUGGACUAUUAGCGGGGGCCUUAGCGCUCUUGUGGUUUGUUUCGGCAGUAUUUGAAUGUCAGCUUUUGGCACUUCUGGUCGCUCUGAGCCUCCGACUCACAUUCCUGGAGCCAGUGUGCCAGACCAGUCAAAGAAUCCUGCGUCAAAAUCGAGAGAACGAACAAGCCUUCAUCUUCAUGGCUUAAAGAAAGAGAGAGAUGUUACGGGAAGUCAGGGACCCCGAACGGAGGGACCAGCUGAAGCCAUGGCAGAAGAACAUAAAUUGUGAAGAUUUCAUGGACAUUUAUUAGUUCCCCAAUCAAUACCCUUGUGAUUUCCUAUGCCUCCUAAGCUGAGGAGGAUGUAUGUUGCCUCAGGACCCUGUGAUGAUUGCGUUAACUGCACAAAUUGUUUGUAGAGCAUUUGUGUUUGAACAAUAUGAAAUCUGGGCACCUUGAAAAAAGAACAGGAUAACAGUGAUGUUCAGGGAACAAGAGAGAUAACCUUAAACUCUGACUGCCG
rnacentral:antisense_RNA from 1 species